GACGAACGCUGGCGGCGUGCCUAACACAUGCAAGUGGAGCGACGAACCAGGCUUCGGCCUGGGGCAAGGCCGCGAACGGGUGAGUAACACGUGGGUAACCUGCCCUGAUGAUUGGGACAACCCGAGGAAACUCGGGCUAAUACCGAAUGUGCCCUCCGGCCUCAAGGCCGCUGGGGAAAGGAAGCUUCGGCCUCCGCAUCGGGAUGGGCCCGCGGCCCAUUAGCUUGUUGGUGAGGUAACGGCNCACCAAGGCGACGAUGGGUAGCUGGUCUGAGAGGACGAUCAGCCACACUGGGACUGAGACACGGCCCAGACUCCUACGGGAGGCAGCAGUGGGGAAUCUUGCGCAAUGCGCGAAAGCGUGAUGCAGCAACGCCGCGUGGGGGAAGAAGGCCU
rnacentral:rRNA from 1 species